rnacentral:rRNA from 1 species
CUAUACAUGCAAGUCGAGCGGACAGAUGGGAGCUUGCUCCCUGAUGUUAGCGGCGGACGGGUGAGUAACACGUGGGUAACCUGCCUGUAAGACUGGGAUAACUCCGGGAAACCGGGGCUAAUACCGGAUGGUUGUUUGAACCGCAUGGUUCAAACAUAAAAGGUGGCUUCGGCUACCACUUACAGAUGGACCCGCGGCGCAUUAGCUAGUUGGUGAGGUAAUGGCUCACCAAGGCAACGAUGCGUAGCCGACCUGAGAGGGUGAUCGGCCACACUGGGACUGAGACACGGCCCAGACUCCUACGGGAGGCAGCAGUAGGGAAUCUUCCGCAAUGGACGAAAGUCUGACGGAGCAACGCCGCGUGAGUGAUGAAGGUUUUCGGAUCGUAAAGCUCUGUUGUUAGGGAAGAACAAGUACCGUUCGAAUAGGGCGGUACCUUGACGGUACCUAACCAGAAAGCCACGGCUAACUACGUGCCAGCAGCCGCGGUAAUACGUAGGUGGCAAGCGUUGUCCGGAAUUAUUGGGCGUAAAGGGCUCGCAGGCGGUUUCUUAAGUCUGAUGUGAAAGCCCCCGGCUCAACCGGGGAGGGUCAUUGGAAACUGGGGAACUUGAGUGCAGAAGAGGAGAGUGGAAUUCCACGUGUAGCGGUGAAAUGCGUAGAGAUGUGGAGGAACACCAGUGGCGAAGGCGACUCUCUGGUCUGUAACUGACGCUGAGGAGCGAAAGCGUGGGGAGCGAACAGGAUUAG